GCCUUCGGGGUGUAAAGGUAACACACUGGGCGGGUAUUCGAGAGGUCCAGGUUCGAGUCCCGGCGAGGGUA
rnacentral:tRNA from 1 species